rnacentral:lncRNA from 10 species
AUCCUUGAAAGACCUAAAGGAAGCAUUUUGAGGAACUGGGCCCCCUCGUGGCCUGUCCUUGGCAGGGGCUUUGGACUGGUAUGGAAGUCUCCCAUAUCCAUGCGUCUGGGCAAAAUGCAAAUGGCAGUAACACCACCAGCUCCUUAUUUCUCACUGAUGCUGGACAGAGACCCAGCAACCUUUACCCUGGAAGUAAUCAAGUGGUUUUGACAUGAACUCUGAGGUGGGGCUUGGUUUUUCAAGAAACCCUCUCUCCUGUCAAGCCAGGUCUAUUCUGGAUGCCAGGACCAGAGAAGUGGCCACCACCACGAGAGGCAAGGGCCUCCAGCCAGCUAAUGUGAUGGACACGGUAUCUGGAGAGUCCUGCAUUUCAAAACUUACUCUAAGGAAGACUGCUUUGAUUUUCAAAGUCUCUAGUCUACAGAGAGAUUGAGCUCUGGCUGCAAGACACUGUCUAUCAUAGAGCCACAUGGCGACAUUGC